CACCGUUUCAAUUUUCAAGUUGAAACCCUAGCCCACUUUAGAGUUUAGACUCCGCCUCUUCUCAAUGUUCUCAUCCUCGUUUAUUUUUUCCAUUAAGCUUUCAAUCAAGUUAAUCAGAUUCUCCUCUGAGGAAAGAAAAUCCAAAAAAAUCUGCUCUCUUGUUACUCAAAACCAGCUGCAUUAGUUGAAGCCUCUUACCAAAAGCUUCACAGAUUCUCUUAGCGAGCUUGGAAAUUUAAAGCUCGAACACUUACCGGAAAACUAUAAUGGAUCUGCCCUUUCACUUAUUGAAUCAUUGUCCAGAGAACAGAAAUUUGUGGAAUUAUCCUUGCUGCAUCAUUACAGGGCUGUCUGACGCUGUAAGACUUGUUUAGAUAUUUUUAUCAGGCUGUUGUCGUUUGUAAUGCAAAGAAGUAAUAUCCCAAACUGGUUGGUUAUUGGGAGCUGAUAGUGUUACUUUUAUGUUCAUCAACGGUGUUUAUUCGAUCGACAUUAGCUUAGGAUGUGAAAUGGUGAAACUGUUUUUGAAAA